GAAACAGAAGCUCUGGCAAUAGUCGGCUGCUUGCUCAAGGUGACACAGUUAAUGGAGAGGCAGAUCUCUGGAUGCGGCGUCUCAGGGGCCACGCCUGCCUCCCCCGCCGCCGCGCGCAUACACAGAAUUCCUCAUGCUGCUGCUAUCACGGAACUCAGGGUUCAUCUCAAAGAUCUCUCUUUGCAUAAUGUGUGUGUGGACCUGCCUACAGAUACAUUGGGUGGAAGCCCUAGGAGCCUCAAGCAAGUCUGAAGAUUGGCCCUGAGAACCACUGUUCUCAUUAUCAGCAAGGAUUUUAUCCAGAGACCUCUAGGAAUACAUUCACUAAAAUGUGACUGUGGUCCUGUGGUUGUAUGAACUCUGGCUCUUCUCGUGAAUUACAUUUCACUGGAGUCAGGUGUUUUCUGUAAACAUCGUUAAACCACGAGACCAACUGCAUUGA
rnacentral:lncRNA from 1 species